AACCAGGUGCUUAUGAAAUGACUGGAAUGGUUGGACAAGUAGGUUCCAGGCUGGGCAUCCAGAAAUGACUCCAGAAGACAAAAAGAAGCGACUCAGCAGGGGACACAAUCAGGAAGGUGGAGAAUUAAGAGGCUACCACAUUUAACCUUGAGUUAAAAAUCAUGCUGUGUAGCUGUAAUCCUGGUAUCAGGAAGUCACCUGCCCUUUAGAUAUGGUACACACAACCCUGCUGCAGAAAAAUCCUUGUCUCUACGACUCACUUGCCAGGGGAAACAGCCCCCAAUUACAGGAAGAUGGGUCUGCCUCACUUCUGCCUUCAAGUUCCUGUUAGGGUGUCCAACUGAAUUCGUGCCUGGAUCUGUAGCUGCAAGGAUAUCUGGGAAAUGUAGUUUUUAGCUUUCGGGCUUCUUCAGUUCAGGAAGGCCUACUAGAAGGCGGUUAGGAUGCAUCUGAAUAACAAUUCUCUAGAAUUUGAAACAGAUCAAACUGUGGAGAGGCCUGCUUAGCCUGGCAGCAGCUUCAGCUUCUUUGCCAGGUAUAUGUCUAAGGGAAUUAAAAGCAUAUGGCCACGCAUAAAUCUGUACAUAGCAGCAUUAGAUAGUGAAAAAGUAGGAAGAACUCAAAUGUCCUUCCAGUGCUGAAUGGAUUAAAUGUGGAUACAUUGAAAUAUUACUUAAAAAAGGAAUGAAGUACUGAGACAUAGAUAAAUCUUAAAAAAAUCAUACUAAGUGAAAGAAGCCCAACGCAAAAGCCACAUACGACAUGAUUCUACUCUGAAGAAAUGUCCAGAAUACACAGAAGCCAACCCUGGGCUGGAAGCAGACGAUCCUCCUCCCGACAUAUCACAUAUGGUCAGAAGACCACAAGCAGAAGAGUCCCAGCUACUACAAAUGGAUGGCCAAUUAGGAAAACAGAACCUAAAGACUGCCACUGGAGGUGUAGGUGGAGAGGCACGGCUCACCUUGGCCAGUGCUUCCCAAAGUGGGUUCAGGAAAACAUCGGUUCUCGAGAUGUAUCAUGAAAAAGCAACUCCCUGCCCAAGGAAUCUGAGAAAUGCCACAGCCCGGAUCCUCUCUGGGGGAGGCUUACAGUGUACCUAGGGCAGUGUAAAGAUUCCAAUAUGUAUCCCAGCAAAGAAACUGGUUGAAACGUUCUCAGCCACUCUCAUCUGCCACAGAACCCAUUCAAGGGCAUUGCUGAUUGUGCACACCACCUAGGAGGGUCCCUUGGAACAGGUAAUCUGCAGGAUGUGCUUUGGGGACUAUUCUUGCUGCGGGAAAGCUUGACAAGUCCCCCCUUAGCAAGGAAGUCAAAUUGAAUGCUGAUCCUAGAAUAGGCUCAGGCUUUGAUUUUCGUAUUCUGAGAUGGCAUAUUUAAAGCAAAUAGAAUAAUAUACUCUAGGGGAUAGAACUUUUCUAUGAUGUCAUUUACACUGCUAAAAAUAAAUACUGAAUU